CAUUAUUUACUUACUGUAACAUCUAUUCCCUUACUAGUUAUUUCAAUUCUUUAUUAUGCAGCCACACUAAACAGAGUAUUCUUUUGAGGCACAGGUUAUCAACGCAUUUGCAGAAGGAACUCUUGAUUUAGUUUGGUUUUGUUCAAUGUACAUGUAUCUGCAAUACAAAAUUUUUAUUGUUAUCCCCCACCAUAGGCGGAGGGAUAUUGUUUUGGCGUUGUCCGUCCGUCCUUCUUUCCGUCCUUCCGUCCGUCUGGCAGGCACUUUUGUGUCCGGAGCCAUAUCUUGGAAGUGCUUUGGCGAAUCUCAUUGAAACUUGGUAUGAGUAUAUAUAUGGAUAAGAGGAUGAUGCAUGUGAAAUGGCAUUGUACACCAUCUGAUAAUAACGGAUUUAUGGCCCUUUGGAUCUUGAAAAAACGCUUUUUUGUGUGUCCGGAGCCAUAUCUUGGAAGUGCUUUGACAGAUUUCUUUGAAACUUGCUAUGAGUAUAUAUAUGGAUAAGAGGUUGAUGCACAUUGGCGUUGUCCAUCGGUCCAGUAUUUUGGCGGGGGAUAUCAAUUCAACAAAUUUGCUUGUUUUUAACCAGGUUUUCCGAAGGAAAAAACUGGUUAUUAGAUUGGCGAAUGCGGGCGGGCUGGCUGGCUGGCGGGCUGGCUGGCUGGCGGGCUGGCGGAAUAAGCUUGUCCGGGCCAUAACUAUGUCGUUCAUUGUCAGAUUUUAAAAUCAUUUGGCACAUUUGUUCACCAUCAUUGGACGGUGUGUCGCGCGAAAUAAUUACGUCGAUAUCUCCAAGGUCAAGGUCACACUUUGAGUUCAAAGGUCAAAAAUGGCCAUAAAUGAGCUUGUCCUGGCCAUAACUAUGUCAUUCAUUGUGAGAUUUUAAAAUCAUUUGGCACAUUUGUUCACCAUCAUGGGACGGUGUGUCCCACGAAAGAAUCACGUCAAUAUCUCCAAUGUCAAGGUCGCCACGACUAAAAAUAGAUUUAAAAAAAAAAAAAAAAUUACAAAGGGGGUUAAUUUUUUUUGGUCAUUUCAAAAGUUCA